rnacentral:rRNA from 1 species
UCAUCAAAAACCAAAUCCUCAACGAUGGAUAUCUAGGUUCCCACAACGAUGAAGAACGCAGCGAAGUGCGAUAAGCAAUGCGAAUUGCAGAACCGGGAGUCAUCAGAUUUUUGAACGCAACUGGCUCCUGGGGGCUCUCCCCCAGGAAUGCUUCUUCCAGUGUGUCAUUAUCUCCUCACCCAAACCUUAAUGCGAUAGAUGCCCUUCUAUUGCUAAGCUCGAAAGCACUCUGAGCUCUGCAGCGGCCGUCUUCGGACGGAAGCACUCAAUGCAGCAGUCACAUUCUCCAAUGUGAACUCAUUGAGAGUAGAGUCAGCGCAUGUCUCAUGCCAGUGCUUAGACACUCAAAUUUUCACAGCAUCUGGGAUGAAGUAGGACCACCCGCUGAACUUAAGCAUAUCAUUAAGCGGAGGAAAAGAAACUAACAAGGAUUCCCUUAGUACGGGCGACGGAAGCGGGAAAAGCCCACACUGGUAAUCUCCGGUCGAGAGGCCGGCGAAUUGUAAUCUGAAGGACCGUAGCCAGGGCAGGCAGGGGAGGCGCAGAAGUGUCUCACGAGCGGACCGCCAAAGAGGGUGAGAGC